rnacentral:rRNA from 1 species
AUUGAACGCUGGCGGCAGGCCUAACCCAUGCAAGUCGAACGAGUGGCGGACGGGUGAGUAAUGUCUGGGAAACUGCCUGAUGGAGGGGGAUAACUACUGGAAACGGUAGCUAAUACCGCAUACCAUCAGAUGUGCCCAGAUGGGAUUAGCUAGUAGGUGGGGUAACGGCUCACCUAGGCGCCGAUCCCUAGCUGGUCUGAGAGGAUGACCAGCCACACUGGAACUGAGACACGGUCCAGACUCCUACGGUAGGCAGCAGUGGGGAAUAUUGCACAAUGGGCGCAAGCUUGAUACAGCCAUGCCGCGUGUAUGAAGAAGGCCUGCGGGUUGUAAAGUACUUUCAGCGGGGAGGCGUUACCCGCAGAAGAAGCACCGGCUAACUCCGUGCCAGCAGCCGCGGUAAUAC